ACGAACGCUGGCGGCGUGCUUAACACCUUCCAGUCGCACGGAAAGGCCCUGCUUGCAGGGUACUCGAGUGGCGAACGGGUGAGUAACACGUGGGUGAUCUGCCCUGCACUUCGGGAUAAGCCUGGGAAACUGGGUCUAAUACCGGAUAGGAGCCAUUUUUAGUGUGAUGGUUGGAAAGUUUUUUCGGUGUAGGAUGAGCUCGCGGCCUAUCAGCUUGUUGGUGGGGUAAUGGCCUACCAAGGCGGCGACGGGUAGCCGGCCUGAGAGGGUGGACGGCCACAUUGGGACUGAGAUACGGCCCAGACUCCUACGGGAGGCAGCAGUGGGGAAUAUUGCACAAUGGGCGCAAGCCUGAUGCAGCGACGCCGCGUGGGGGAUGACGGCCUUCGGGUUGUAAACUCCUUUCGCUAGGGACGAAGCUUUUUGUGACGGUACCUAGAUAAGAAGCACCGGCUAACUACGUG
rnacentral:rRNA from 1 species